rnacentral:rRNA from 1 species
GAACGAUGGGAGCUUGCUCCCAGGCGUCGAGUGGCGGACGGGUGAGUAAUACUUAGGAAUCUGCCCAUUAGUGGGGGACAACAUUCGGAAACGGAUGCUAAUACCGCAUACGCCCUACGGGGGAAAGCGGGGGAUCUUCGGACCUCGCGCUAAUGGAUGAGCCUAAGUCGGAUUAGCUUGUUGGUGAGGUAAAGGCUCACCAAGGCGACAAUCCGUAGCUGGUCUGAGAGGACGAUCAGCCACACUGGGACUGAGACACGGCCCAGACUCCUACGGGAGGCAGCAGUGGGGAAUAUUGGACAAUGGGGGCAACCCUGAUCCAGCAAUACCGCGUGUGUGAAGAAGGCCUGCGGGUUGUAAAGCACUUUCAGUAGAGAAGAAAAACCCAGGGGUUAAUACCCUCAGGGCUUGACGUAACCUACAGAAGAAGCACCGGCUAACUCCGUG